rnacentral:lncRNA from 1 species
CGGGGCCGUGCGGGCGCGGACGCAACUUUCGGCGUGUGCCGAGCGGCGGGGCGGGCGCGGUACGAGCGGAGCGGAUCGGCAAUAGAUGUAUUGCGCGUCCGACUCCCUCCCUUCCCGCCCCUCCCUCCGCCGAAGGUGGGACGGCCGUACGGCGCGGUACGCCCGGCGCUCCAACCGCGGAGCCGCCCCGUCGGGUACCGCCGGGCCGGGUCGAGCCGGGCGGGGCGGGAGGGUGCGCAGCCCUCGCGGGGAACCGGGGCGGAUCGGGCCGUACGGACAGCGCCGACUGCCCGCCGAUUGGCGUCUGCGAUCCUCUCCGAUCGCGGGGAUCUGUUUCCCACCGGGAACAGCCCGGGAUUACCCCCGCUGGUUGCUCUCCCGGAUCCCGGCCGGGGGAAACUCCUUACUCCGGUGCUCGGCCCGAGCCCUCCGGCCCCGCUGCCGGCCCGGGGCGGUGUUUGACAAGGGUGGGCCGGGCCAGGGGCUCCGGCCACCUCCCCGCAGCCGAACGGCAAGCGCCUUCCUGGGAGGGGCCCGCGCCGGGUUCGGGCUUCGAACCCCGAUCCACGGGAUCGGCCGGCGACACCGGGCGUUGCUGCGGGCGGGGCGGGCGCGGCCCGCACUACACUUCCCGGAGGGCCCUGCUGCCACCGGGCCCGCCCCCGCCCCUCCCGGCAUCCGAUUGGUCAUCUCCCCACGGCCGUCCGUCCCUCUCCUCCUCUCAUUGGCUGGCGGAGCCGUCGCUCCGCGGGGGGUAGAACAGGGUGGGGGAGUGGCGGGGCGCUGGCGGCACGCGGGAGCUCGGCGCUGACAGGGCGGCGCGCGGAGGCGCUGCGGGACGGGCCGGGACAGGACGGGCACCUCCUGCCCGCGGCAGGUGAGCUCCGUAAGACUGGUUUAAGCAGUGCAGAAGUUCAUGGAUGGAAGAAGAGUCCUUGUUUCAGAACACCUACACCUGAAGAUUUUAUAAACGCCGUUAGAAGAGCUGGCGUGCAGGAGGAAUGGAUCUCAUCUGUCUGCUGUGAUUCUUGACCCACCUAAUCGGCUAAUGGCCACGAGCAAUAACAGCGUGGCUCAGGGGAGCGGAGCUGGGGAGAGAUGCAGCCGCUUGGGGCAGAGAAGCACUGCGUUGUACCGAAGGUGUUGCACAUGAUCCUGCCGUUGAUGACCGAACCUCCCUGAAAUCUUCUUAUCAGUUGCUGCCAAGAUGAGAAGGAUAGCAGGAAAGAGGAGUGCAUAAGUGAUUCUCAUGACAGUUAAUUUCAUCAUUUUAUCAAAUGACAGGUUAUUGUUCCCGCUAUGCAAGGAAGUUGAACUGUUUUCCUGAGCAUACCCAGAAUUAAUUCAGCACAAGUUGAUCAGGUUAUGUGACCAGAACAUGCUGGUUACUGCUGGCCUGGGCCAUUCUGAUGGAAGAGCAGGAAGCAUGCAGACCAGCUGCAUCAAUGGCUUGCCUGGGAAGGGGUGUCACCAACAGGGGAGUUGUGGAGCUGGUGGUGGUGAUUUGGUGUUUUCAGCAGGUGCAGCUGCAUCUCUAAGUUCUACACAUGUGGAAAAAUACUUUGUUAAAGCAGCUCCUGGGUGAACGGGGUAAUUAAAGAACUGCGCCGCUUUUAUUGGAGUUGACACAUGCUGCACGUUCCUUAAAACUCACUCAUGGUGUGGAGCACCCUGCCAAGCACACUCUGCUCCUCUGGGCUGCAGUGAGAAGUGGAUGACCGGUGCUGCACACAGCUAAGCACACAGCCUUAUCAGCAAGCGUGCUUUUAGGUUAAAGCACAGCCAUCUCCAUACUGACAGAGAGGAAGUCACAGAGUUACAGCGUUGACCAGCACAGUGGCUGGAGGUGAUUUCUUUUUUUUUUCUCUCCCCCUCCAAGUCUUCUGUUAAAAUAGUGAUAAUUAAAUCAUAGACAACUUUUGCAUGGAAAGCCCAGUAUGGCGAUGUUAUUUAAUAAGAGGUAAGAAAUGCUUUGGCAACAUUGAAUUCUUAGUAGCAUCAUGUAUCAUCUGUGUUUUGUGUGGUUGCAAAAAUGUUGCUCUUACUGCUAUUCGGCUUAAGACCAUCAUGUUUCACUUCUGUAUUUUGAGACACAUAAACUGUUAAAGCUCUAAGCACUUCUCAGGCAUUACCUCUGACUUGCUAUUAUUGCAUACUAUAAAACAUAAUAAAACACAAUAUUAAAGUCUAUGCUGAAAGAAUAUUAUUCGGUGGCUAUGAAUAAAAAAUGUGGACAAGUUUUUAAAAUCUGUUUGUUUGUUUUUUGCUAAUUCUUUACAGAAAGUGUUACAAUUAUUAGCAUUAUUUUUAAUACAAAAAAAGUGCUCCUUACAGGGAUGCAUAACGUGCAGUAGUAUACUGGUGUUUUAUAUUUCUAGGGCUGUAUUAUAGAAACUGAAAAUAUACACUUUUUAGCAUCUUGUUAGCAUAUGCAGUAGGAACUAGUUUUAUAUCUGAACGUGCCAGUGAGAUGCUAUGUAUUUUUAGCUGUUUCUGCAUCCCAAUAAAUUUAUCCCACAGACCGGGCUCUGCAAGUUGAAGAUGAAAAAUUGGUUUCCGAACUCCUUGUGUGUUGCUUUAACAUCGCAAGUAGAUUCCCAUGUGCUAAAGUGUAAACUACCAACUAAUCCGUAGCAGUUUUACAGGAGAGAGUCACUUAAUUAACACUUUUAAUUUCAGAUGUGCAAGCGAGGUCUGGGAAGUGGAGAGAGGCUUCGUGCUUCCUAGCUGAAGAGUUGUUGUGCUCUGAGUCCGCUGUUGAUAGCACCCAUAGACCACCUCCUUCCUGCUAAUUAGGCCUCAUGAACACGGCCUCUGGAAAUGGCUUGAGAAGUGUGUUGGGUGGGUGGUUUUUUUCCGGCCAGCCACUACGCCAUCAUAAAUAAGGGAACGGUGCUGUAUGUAGCUAUUACACCAGGCUCGUUUGGCAGGCCGUAAUUUAAUAGAACAACAACGAUCAGACUGGUAUAUCAGUUAAUUUUCAAAACAUUUUAUUCCACACAAAUUAGCACAGGUCCUGGAGGGCAAAAUGACAAGAGGUUACUCGUACACUGUGUAUUUAAUUAAUUGAAAAAUGCUCAGAUUGCUUUUACAGUUGUUAUUAGAAAGUAGAAUCAGUGUUGCCAGUGCUCAACCAUAAUUAGAGCCCCAGGGAAUUAAAUAUUUAGCAUUAGUAAUGUAACAGCACUUAGGACACAAAUUUCUAUUUUUGUAAUGAAAGCAAUGCAGCAUAAGUGCAAAUGGCUGAAACGACAGCUGUGACAAGUGAAGCAGCCUGGGAUAUUUCAAUAGGACACCUCAUUGGACAGCAAGUCUUACCGCAUUACUCGUUCGUAAGAGAUCUGCAAGUCGAAAUCCCAGCAGCCACGCAUGGCACCCCGUGCUCAGGCUUCUAAUUGCUCGCAGGACGAACGCUUGGACAAAUGUCACAGCGCCAGGGGUGGGGACGGGCCGUGUUGCCCUACGUACCGGGCAGGGCAGAGCGGGAAGCCAGCCCUUGUUUGUUGGGACUUUAAUUACAUCUUAAGCAGAAGCGCUUUCAGUAGCAGCACAGGGCGAGAGGUCGGACGUUGGGCUCUAACGAGCGGUGCUGGCGGAGGGCCCGAGGGAUUGGCUCUGCGCGGGGCCGUGCACAGCUCCGAGCUGCUUUGUUCUGAGCCGCGCGGCCCGUCGCGAGGUGCGGUGCUAAGCAGGAAUAAAGCACGACGACUUCAGUUCUCUGCUUUUUCUCUUCUCAGGGUGGAGGGGAAGGAGGGCAGUCCGAAGCCACCUGUGUUUCUUGAAUAUAAAAAAAAAAAAAAAAAAAAAAGCCCAGUAUUUGGGCCCGGCACGGCUUGUCAGUGUAUUUGAGGCUGUGUUUCCUCAGAACGCGCCAUCGGCUGGAAUUGCUGCCGCGCCGUUUGCAGACGCGCUUCGCUCCCGCUCGGCACGCGUUCGCUGUCCGCGCCGCGCUGCUCGGAGCCGCCGUGACGCC